CUACGGGGUGCUGCAGCGAGGAAUAUUGCACAAUGGGGGGAACCCUGAUGCAGCAACGCCGCGUGGAGGAUGACGCAUUUCGGUGUGUAAACUCCUUUUAUAUGUCAAGAAAAUGACGGUAGCAUAUGAAUAAGCACCGGCUAACUCCGUGCCAGCAGCCGCGGUAAUACGGAGGGUGCAAGCGUUACUCGGAAUCACUGGGCGUAAAGGACGCGUAGGCGGGUUGGAAAGUCAGGUGUGAAAUCCUACAGCUUAACUGUAGAACUGCACUUGAAACUUCUAAUCUAGAGUAUGGGAGGGGGCGAUGGAAUUAGUGGUGUAGGGGUAAAAUCCGUAGAUAUCACUAGGAAUACCUAAAGCGAAGGCGAUCUCCUGGAACAUUACUGACGCUAAGGCGUGAAAGCGUGGGGAGCAAACAGGAUUAGAUACCCUAGUAGUC
rnacentral:rRNA from 1 species